rnacentral:rRNA from 1 species
CCUACGGGGGGCAGCAGUGAGGAAUAUUGGUCAAUGGGCGAGAGCCUGAACCAGCCAAGUCGCGUGAGGGAGUACUGCCCUAUGGGUUGUAAACCUCUUUUGUCGGGGAGCAAAAGCCGGACGUGUCCGGCUGUGAGAGUACCCGAAGAAAAAGCAUCGGCUAACUCCGUGCCAGCAGCCGCGGUAAUACGGAGGAUGCGAGCGUUAUCCGGAUUUAUUGGGUUUAAAGGGUGCGCAGGCGGAUUUUUAAGUCAGCGGUCAAAUCGUGGGGCUCAACCCCAUCCAGCCGUUGAAACUGGGGAUCUAGAGUGUGCGAGAGGAUAGUGGAAUUCCAGGUGUAGGAGUGAAAUCCGUAGAUAUCUGGAGGAACAUCAGUGGCGAAGGCGACUAUCUGGCACAUAACUGACGCUGAGGAGCGAAAGCGUGGGUAGCAAACAGGAUUAGAUACCCCUGUAGUC